ensembl:lncRNA
GGGACAAUGGGGACAUUGGGGGCAAUGGGGUCAAUGGGGACAUUGGGGUCAAUGGGGACAAUGGGGACAUUGGGGUCAAUGGGGACACUGGGGGCAAUGGGGACAUUGGGGUCAAUGGGGGGGGUAAUGGUGCUACUGGUGUCACUGGUGUUUGUUCCUGGUGUUACUGGUGCUACUGGUGCCCCUGGUGUUUCUUACUGGUGUUACUGGUGUAUCUUACUGGUGCUACUGGUGUAUCUUACUGGUGUUACUGGUGUAUCUUACUGGUGUUACUGGUGCUACUGGUGCUACUGGUGCCCCUGGUGUUUCUUACUGGUGCCCCUGGUGUACCUUACUGGUGCCCCUGGUGUUUCUUACUGGUGUCACUGGUGCCCUUGGUGUUUCUUACCGGUGUUACUGGUGUUUCUUACUGGUGUUACUGGUGUUUCUUACUGGUGUCGCUGGUGCCCCUGGUGUUUCUUACUGGUGGCCCUGGUGUACCUUACUGGUGCCCCUGGUGUUUCUUACUGGUGUUACUGGUGCCCUUGGUGUUUCUUACUGGUGUUACUGGUGUUUCUUACUGGUGUUACUGGUGUUUCUUACUGGUGCCCCUGGUGUUUCUUACUGGUGCCCCUGGUGUUUCUUACUGGUGCUACUGGUGCCCCUGGUGCUUCUUACUGGUGUCACUGGUGCCCCUGGUGUUUCUUACUGGUGUCACUGGUGCCCUUGGUGUUUCUUACUGGUGUUACUGAUGUUUCUUACUGGUGUCACUGGUGCCCUUGGUGUUUCUUACUGGUGUUACUGGUGUUUCUUACUGGUGUUACUGGUGUUUCUUACUGGUGUUCCUGGUGCCCCUGGUGUUUCUUACUGGUGCCCCUGGUGUUUCUUACUGGUGUCACUGGUGUUUCUUACUGGUGCUACUGGUGCCCCUGGUGUAUCUUACUGGUGUUCCUGGUGUUACUGGUGCCCGUGGUGUUUCUUACUGGUGUUACUGGUGUCACUGGCACCCCUGGUGUUUCUUACUGGUGCCCUUGGUGUUUCUUACUGGUGCCCCUGGUGUUUCUUACUGGUGCUACUGGUGUUUCUUACUGGUGCUACUGGUGCCCCUGGUUUUUCUUACUGGUGCUACUGGUGCCCCUGGUGCUUCUUACUGGUGUCACUGGUGCCCCUGGUGUUUCUUACUGGUGCCCCUGGUGUUUCUUACUGGUGUCACUGGUGCCCUUGGUGUAUCUUACUGGUGUUCCUGGUGUUACUGGUGCCCCUGGUGUUUCUUACUGGUUCUUACUGGUGCUACUGGUGCCCUUGGUGUUUCUUACUGAUGUCCCUGGUGUUUCUUACUGGUGCUACUGGUGUUACUGGUGCCCCUGGUGUAUCUUACUGGUGUUACUGGUGUUUCUUACUGGUUCUACUGGUGCUACUGGUGCCCCGGUGUUUCUUACUGGUGCCCCUGGUGUUUCUUACUGGUGCCCCUGGUGCCCCUGGUGUUUCUUACUGGUGUCCCUGGUGUUUCUUACUGGUGCCCUUGGUGUUUCUUACUGGUGUUACUGGUGCUACUGGUGCCCCUGGUGUUUCUUACUGGUGUCACUGGUGCCCCUGGUGUUUCUUACUGGUGCCCCUGGCGUUUCUUACUGGUGUUACUGGUGUCCCUGGUGUAUCUUACUGGUGCCCCUGGUGCUACUGGUGCCCCUGGUGUUUCUUACUGGUGCCCCUGGUGCCCCUGUUGUUUCUUACUGGUGUUCCUGGUGCCCCUGGUGCAUCUUACUGGUGCCCCUGGUGUUUCUUACUGGUGCCCCUGGUGUUUCUUACUGGUGCCCCUGGUUCACCUUACUGGUGUUACUGGUGUCAGUGGUGCCCCUGGUGUUUCUUACUGGUGCCCCAUGUGUUUCUUACUGGUGUUACUGGUGCUACUGGUGCCCCUGGUGUAUCUUACUGGUGUCCCUGGUGUUUCUUACUGGUGUUCCUGGUGCCCUUGGUGUUUCUUACUGGUGCCCCUGGUGUUUCUUACAGGCGUCACUGGUGUUUCUUACUGGUGUUACUGGUGCCUCUGGUGUCUGUUCCUGGUGCCCCUGGUGUUUCUUACUGGUGCUACUGGUGCCACUGGUAUAUCUUGCUGGUGUCACUGGUGCCCCUGGUGUUUCUUACUGGUGUUCCUGGUGCCCCUGGUGCUUCUUACUGGUGUCACUGGUGCCCCUGGUGCUUCUUACUGGUGCUACUGGUGUCCCUGGUGUUUCUUACUGGUGUUCCUGGUGCCCUUGGUGUUUCUUACUGGUGCCCCUGGUGUUUCUUACUGGUGCUACUGGUGCCCCUGGUGUAUCUUACUGGUGCCACUGGUGCUACUGGUGUCCCUGGUGCAUCUUACUGGUGUUACUGGUGUUUCUUACUGGUGUCACUGGUGCUACUGGUGUUUCUUACUGGUGCUACUGGUGCCCCUGGUGUUUCUUACUGGUGUUCCUGGUGCCCCUGGUGUAUCUUACUGGUGCCCCUGGUGCUACUGGUGCCCCUGGUGCAUCUUACUGGUGCUACUGGUGUUCCUGGUGCCCUCACCUGGUCUCCCCGCGUCCAGGUGACGGUGGGGGGGGGCUCCCCGGUGAUGGGCACCUCGAGGCGCACUUUGUUCCCCGCCACCACCACGAUGCUGUUCUCCGACGCCUUCCCCGAGCAGUCCAGGUGGAUCUUGGGG